rnacentral:snRNA from 1 species
UCUACAUACUUGCGUGGAUCGAC